rnacentral:lncRNA from 8 species
GUGUCCGUCGGGGAGGCAGCCUGACGAACUGGGGAAAUUGGUGUCCUGCUCUGUGUUCAUUUGGCUUGGGUCUCCUGGGCCACACUGGGUGUUUGCUCAGAGGAGAAAUGGGGAAAUGUGAUUGGCUGGGGACCGCUACCACACGAAGGAGCCACACAAACACUGCAGAGCUCCAUAAACAGCAUACAGUGAAAUCAGAAACUGAUUACUGACGCUGUGGUGUGUUUGUCUUCUGAAAGCCUUGCAAUAUCGCAGUGGCUGAGGUGGUUGAAACGCAAGAAAAGUUUAGCCUUUUCACCUUGAAUACCAGAUUAGAGAAAACAAUCCAUAUAAUUUCCCUGAUUUUGAUAACUUUUCCCACCUGGGUCAAGAUUAAUGAGGACAAUUUCCCACUAAAUAUCUGUAACUGACACUGUAGCUUAGAGCCAAGUAAGACAGAUGUAGUUUUUAACUUUACUACAGUAAAUGGGGGAUUUGAUACAUUUUAUCUUGAAUCUUUGCUGGUACUGAUGGAUAGCAGGUUUUCUAGAUGGAGUCCAUUUCUGAAAGGUGCUUGUUUCCCUGGGAAAAGACGUGAGGAGAAAUGUCACCAGGGAGAUCAUUCAAGAUUGACGUCAAAAUUGGACGUCUAUUCAUGUCCCGAAGACAUCAGGAAAUGCCUUCAAAACCAGCCGCUAGGGGCAACCAAGAGCACUUUUAUCAUCAAGUAGGCUUGGGUUUUGUUAGACUGUUGUGGUGGUGGAUGGGCAUGUGUUCAAUCCCAGUCAUGGACAUUAGUUAGAAUUUUUGGUUUUAACCCUAUCGCAAACCCUAACCUUAACCAUUCGGAAUGUGUGCCUAAACUUAAAUCUUAACUUUGAAAUUUGACGUUUGGAGUAACAGAACGAUACAGAGUAGUAGGAGCAACAAAAACACUUAGAAAUGUGACAUUUGGAGAACGUGGAUGAACGUCUAAUUCUUCAGUGAGACUGAAAGCUUGUUGAGGUGACAGCUAGCUGCCCCUCCAGCUCACACUCUUUCAUGUAGAUCCUGAAAAGACAUAAGAUGAAGCACAACAUUAACCAAAACAUGAGUAAAGUAGAAUUGUGUGAACUUUCUGUAGAUAGCUAGGACUGCCACAUACUUUAUCAAAUUGGAGUGCCAAGGUGAAACAAUGAGUGCAGCUUACCAUUACUUUCACCAUAACAGGUUAUGUGCAAUAAAACUAGCUAGACCCAUUCAUGCUGUAACCGUUCAGGUAGAAACUAAUAUUGCAUAGCAUGAACAUUACAAUCAGCUCACCACAAAUAAAAUCGACGUGACAAAUCAGAACUAUAUAGAAGAAGAGAGAAGUGGUGGGACCAGCACCACCGUGAAAAAUAGGAAUUUAGGCUACCGCGUUACUAACGUUAGGUACAGCUAGUGGCAGUGCAUUGUGCAGUGGCAAGAAAGCUAAUUAUGGCCACAUGACUUACUCAAAACAGUUUUUUUUGCAGCAUUUCUCCUGUCGUGUUCGCCACUGAAUUAAAUACCUGGUAUUGUCGUCAGACCCUGCAACAGAACACAAGCCCUGGUAUUAACAACAAGUAGCUAGCUGGGCUAAUGUUAAAAAAAGUUGUCGCUCAACAGCAAGCAAGAAACCCUGUAGCUA